GGGUGGGCUUGGUGAUGCAGUGUGCUGAGUCACUUCUCUUCCUGUAAAUCAUCCCUCACCCAUGUUCCUUUCAUUCUGUUUGAAAUACAGCAGCCUGUUCCCAUGGCUGGAUCUGAUUUAGAAGUGCCUAUCAAGUAUUCUGAGCAAGGGAUGACUGGGAGAGCCUGGCAGCAGUAACAACACGGGAGCAAUGAAAGCACGCACACUCCCCAGAGCCCGGGUACCAAGGACCGCUCAGUACUCAUAGGAAGCAGGGCUCCCUGGGAAGAUGCUAAGAAGAGUCAGAAUGUGUGGCCUAUCAGAAUACAAGAAAGUGAUCAGAGAUUCACCCAGCCUUGCAAAGGACUCCCUAACUGCUUCAAGAAGUUCCUAUGGGAUUCGAGUUAUUAAAAAUAAUGCUAGUGGACUGGUAAGAUGGCUCAGCAGGUAAAAAUGUGCCUACCACUGAGCCUGAUGACCUGAGUCCAAUUCCCAGGACCCACACAGGAGAGACCUGACCACUGUAAGCUGCCUUCUGAUCUCCACAUGUACAAUGUGGCAUGAGCAUGUUCACACCACACACACACACACACACACACACACA